GGGGACCCUCCCUAUCUCCAGGUGAGAAACACUAAACCUCUUCAUUUCCCCUUUCCUGCUUGCCAUGCCUUAUAAUUUUCACUCCAGGGAACUCAGAAUUUCUAUCAAAUUAGAAUCAUACUGCCACACUGAUCCCUAACCUUUACAAUAGCAAUCCUCGCAUGAAUUCAGUCCAAAAUUAACUUUUUUGAAUUAAGUUGUGUUGUCAAAAAUCUAAAACUUUAUUGUUAUAACAAGCACGCAAAUCU
rnacentral:misc_RNA from 1 species